CCAGGGCCUGUGCAACCAAGUCCUCAACCUUUACCAUAGUUUAAAAUCUCAAAACUAGAUCUAGGCAAAUCAGUGUAAGAUUUGUUAUUGCCAGGUGUGGUGGUUAAAUGCCAUUAAUCCCAGCACUCACAAGUCAGUCUGAAGCCACAUGUGCACACGAGUUCAGGGCACCCAAGACUACACAGUGAGACCAUUUCAAUAAUGAUGAUAAGGAAGGAGGAGGAGGAGGAAGAAGAGGAGGAGAAAGAGGAGAAGGAAAAGGAGUAGCAGCAGCAGCAGAGAAGAAAGAAAGAAGAAGAAAGAAGUAGUAGUAGAAGUAGUAGUAGUAGUAGUAGAAGGAGAAGGAGAAGAAGGAGGAGGAGAAGGAGAAGGAGGAGAAGGAGAAGCAGCAGCAGCAGCAGCAGCAGCAGCAGCAGCGGCUGCUACUUCGUGUGAUAGUAUACACCUUUUGUCCCAGCACUCUGGAGGCAGAGAUUAAGGAGUGUGCACCACCACUGCCUGGCUUACUUCAACCAUGAUGCGCUGGAAAGACAUUUAAGUUCUGACCAAACCAACUGAGGUAUUCUAACAACAGCUAAAUGAAUAAAUCCCAUGAUACUUAUCAGGUUCAAUAACAGGAUUUGUUUGGUAACAUUUUGAUCAAUAUAAAGCACACUUCCUUUUAAGCCUGAAAUUUUAAACACUGACUAAAAAUAGCUUUUAAAGUAUAUUAUUUUUUAUUUAAUCUAUUUUAAAAU
ensembl:lincRNA Gm27022 predicted gene, 27022